rnacentral:rRNA from 1 species
GUGCCAGCCGCCGCGGUAAUACCAGCUCCCCGACUGGUCGGGAUGAUUAUUGGGCCUAAAGCGUCCGUAGCCGGUUCUUUGUGUGAUUCGUUAAAUCCAGCGGCUCAACCGCUGGACUGCGAAUCAUACUAAAGGGCUAGGGGGCGGGAGAGGCCAAGGGUACUCCGCGGGUAGGGGUAAAAUCCGCUGAUCCGCGGAAGACCAACAGUGGCGAAGGCGUUUGGCCAGAACGCGCCCGACGGUGAGGGACGAAAGCUAGGGGAGCGAACCGGAUUAGAUACCCGGGUAGUCCUAGCCGUAAACGAUGCUCGCUAGGUCUUGGGAGAACUUCGUGUUCUGUCAGGGCCGCAGGGAAGCCGUUAAGCGAGCCGCCUGGGGAGUACGGCUGCAAGGCUGAAACUUAAAGGAAUUGGCGGGGGAGCACCACAAGGGGUGAAGCCUGCGGUUUAAUUGGAGUCAACGCCGGGAACCUUACCAGGGGUGACGGCAGAGUGAUGGUCAGGCUAAAGACCUUACCUGACGAGCCGAGAGGAGGUGCAUGGCCGUCGCCAGCUCGUGCUGUGAAGUGUCCUGUUAAGUCAGGCAACGAGCGAGACCCA